AAUGUAAAGGUUAUAUUUGUGCUGUGAUAUCCAAAAGUGAGGGUUCGAAUCCCUCCCUCACCGCCA
rnacentral:tRNA from 2 species